GUAAAUAUGGCCGAGUGGUCUAAGGCGCUGCAUUCAAGUCGCAGUAUCGAAAGAUACCAGAGUUCGAAUCUCUGUAUUUACA
rnacentral:tRNA from 1 species